GCAGACUUAGCUCAGUGGUAGAGCACUUCCUUCACACGGAAGGGGUCACAAGUUCGAAUCUUGUAGUCUGUA
rnacentral:tRNA from 1 species